rnacentral:rRNA from 1 species
AUGAAUCUCUUAAGUUGGAACUGCCGGGGAGGGGGGAAUACCCCGACGGUUCGUGAGCUAGCGACUCUUUGUCAGUCGCAUUCCCCCACUUUGGUGUUUUUGUGUGAAACAAGGCAGAAGGCGGACAAGUUGAAAAGAAUCCGAGCAAGGUUGGGUUUAAAGGGUUUUUGCAGCGUGGAUAGUAAUGGUAUGAGCGGCGGUUUGGCUCUAUAUUGGCAUGAAUCUUAUGAUGUCCAGAUCCUAGACAAGAAGGAAAGAUACAUUUGCCUUGGUGCGAGUUCAUCCGGAUGCUGA